rnacentral:misc_RNA from 1 species
GAUGAAGAACGUAGCGAAAUGCGAUAAGUAAUGUGAAUUGCAGAAUUCAGUGAAUCAUCGAAUCUUUGAACGCACAUUGCGCCCUUUGGUAUUCCGAAGGGCAUGCCUGUUCGAGCGUCAUUUCACCACUCAAGCCUGGCUUGGUAUUGGGCGCCGCGGUCGAUCCGCGCGCCUCAAAGUCUCCGGCUGAGCUGUCCGUCUCUAAGUGUUGUGAUUUCAUUAAUCGCUUCGGAGUGCGGGCGGCCGCGGCCGUUAAAUCUUUCACAAGGUUGACCUCGGAUCAGGUAGGGAUACCCGCUGAACUUAAGCAUAUCAAUAAGCGGAGGA